AAGUGGGGAUCAAUCUCAGGAAAGGCUUGCCAUUGAUCGGUGCUGGAGGGAUCGACCCGAGGUGAGGCAUCCAGCCUCGAUCUGGCGCGACGCACAGGAGGAUCCGGCGAUCGACAGGAUCCCGCCUGUAGCAGAUGGGCGACAUUUCCUCUUUGCCAUCGCUGUUACUCCUUGCCGCACCCACUCGUGGCCGUGGUGGCCAGGUUUUGCCUCCGCCUCCGACCUCGGCGCGACCCCUCCUUCCGCUUGCCUCCCCUCCCCCAGGAAUGAGGAGGAGCACCCGGUGCCCCCGCCCCCGAGCUCGCCGACUGCGACGUCCUCCGGCCCAAGUUUGCUGCUACUGCUCCUCCUCUCCUCUAUCCUCGUCUUCCCCAAGCAUUAAGAGAGGGGCUGCAAGGGGAAGAUACAUGCAAGUUCAAAUCUUGGGAGCUCAAGGUUUGUUCAUCUAACACAUCCCUGCUACAGUGCAGUUCUCUACCAUUAGAUGGCAAUUGAUUGUCUUCUUGUGGUUUGCCAAUUGGAGAACAAUAGGUUGCCAUAAAAGAACAGAGUUUCGAUUUUAAUCUAUGCAUGUACUUUUGCCAACUAUUGUCAUGACCAUACCUUACCACAUUUUGUUGAUGCAUUUAUCUAUUAUCUAGGUAUUUGAAAAGACUUUCAUGUUCAAGUGGGCUUCUUUAGAUCUGUUGAUGGCAGUUAGAUUUCUAUUUGCUGCAGUGACAAAGCAUGAUAUAUAUGUUAUCUUCCUGUUGGCCGUGCAUAAUCAAGUAUCGAAUAACCACACAUUCCAUUCUCGACAGCUCCUGAGAGAAGACGAAUUCACUAUUUCAGAAGGAAGGGAGCCCCUUAGUUUUACCUACAUUCUUAAACACCCAAAUACUAUUUUAUUAUGAUGUUUUUUAAACAGCCAAAAGCAUGAGAGAACAUCGAAUUCUUGAUUGCUAACAAAGGAGCACAAUACAAGUUGAUGGAGAGAAAUACUGUUUUAUUCUGAUGUUUUCUAAAGUGCGCAACU